ensembl:lncRNA LINC00900 long intergenic non-protein coding RNA 900
GAUGACCCGGCCGCCGCCGCCGCCCUGCAACCGCUCCCCGGGACCCCUCAACGCUGACACUGAUGACCCGCGGCGGGGGCGCUGGGCGCGGGGUGCGCAGGCCACUGGCCGCGGGCUCUCGGGCCCGCUCCUGCCGCCGGCUUCUGCUGCUUCCGCGUGCCGUGGACACUGCCAGAAUUUGUCAAAGGUCCUAGGAAGAAAAGGCUCUUUCACCCCUCCCCUCAAUGAACAGAUGGCGUGUUUGGACUGUUCGCAUUCGCUCCUCAUAGGUGGGAUCCUGGAGGAAGUUAAGGGGUGCUCCGUUCCCUGGGGAUGGGACAGCAGCUCGCCUUUUUACUAAUAGCUAUAAGGGACUGUCAGACAUUUACCUGACUAGACCUUCACCUCAGAGCUCAGAAGGGGAACAGCUCCAGAACUAAAAGAGAGAGCCUCUGGCAGACCCCAAAAGACAGCAUGUGGAGUGAAGCUGGGCUUCCCUGCCCAAUCACUAGGAUCAUUUAUUGCACAAAUACCUGUAUUUUAAGCUGCAGAUUAUUGUGAAUUUUUGUAUUUUCUUCAUUUCCAUUUAGCUUUUUUUCAAUUUUAGAAUAGCCUUUCUCUAGAUAACUCGAGGAAGUGGGAGACGGAAUUUCCUUUGUUUCUGUCUUGAGCCCAAAGGGACAAUUGAGUGUCAGGUAUGACAGGGAUAAAGGG